UGAUCAUAUUUUAUGCUAAAUUACAUAGAAAAAUUCAUGAGAAAAAAUGCGAAUUUGUAGAAGUGUUUCAUACGAAAGUGAAAUUAGCCGUGUUUCAUGAAACAAGUUUCGACGAGAUUGAGAAACACGAAAUGUUUUGUUGGAAUUUGACCACAUCGUGACAUUUCGGUCGUGCCGAUUGAAUGUUCGGAUAUUGUGUCAUAUUUUUGUUAUUUAUUUGCGUCGUUUGAGUUUUCAAGGUAUUUGUGAGGAAAUUCAAGAAAAAUUUCAAUAAAUUGCGCAAAGAAAUCGCAGCAGAGAAACACAAAGUCGAGAAGGCAAAACACCACGGUUGCCAUGCCCAUGGGAACAAAGAAGCUAAGCGCAAUAAUUGAGCGAUUUGAUCCAGAUUUGACCGACUGCAUUGACACAGAAGAUUGGCUUGUAGAAGUUGAAAAGGCACGUUUAUGUAUCAUUGGGAAGAGAGAGUGAGAAUUCUAUGUGCUGUGCAUCCAUGAGAUUGAGAGGGCAGCUGAAAAAUGAAUCCGUAGAGCCAAAGCGAGGCUGGAUACGUGGCAAAAUUUCGUGAUUAAUUGUUGCAAUUCUUUCCUACCGUUGUGGAUUUAAGGACAUCAUUGUUGACACAAACUUUCGAAUCUCUCCCGCAACUUCUCCGCGUACUAAUUGAUGUGGAACAAAACAUUGAACGUAGACGAUUCCAAGUGCAAUUAUGGGUAGAAUUCAGGGCGAUACCAUCCGUACUGCCAUGGUAAGAAGAAUGACAAUGUGAAGCACACAAGGAAGCCAAAAAAGGAGAGAGAGCAGAAAACCACCGAAGAUCGACGAAUGCUCUGAGAAACUGUACUAUAGGUGCAAGAAGCCCGGAAAUUUGAUUGUUCAAUGGCCACAAUCAGUAACUAAUUCCAAUGAAUUCCAAGCAGAUGAUAAUUAAAUUGAAUUUGUGUAAAUAAAGAAUCUUAAGCCCACUGAGUGUAGUAAAGUGUGAGAUCAAAUAAAAGAAAUUACAGAAAGGCAUUAUUAUUAUUUCGAGAUUUUAAUUAGUUGUUUUUCAGGACAGAAAAAAUGAAAUUAAGAUCUCAAGGUAAGACUACUAAAUAGAAUGGAGAAUAAUUUCUUUGUCAUUUUAGAUUAUGGCCAUACAACGAGGAUGCAACAAAGAAAUGUCAAGGAUUUAAAAUAUCAAAUAUUAUAUGCCCCGCUCAGACACAAGAUAGAAGCAAAGAAGGAAGAGAAUCUCAAGCGUACGACAGGAAUUGAGGACUCGAUAGAUCUUAAGGAAGGCUAUGUGCCAAAGUCAAGCAAUGGCUGUGUGCCGCUUGAAAGCUGAGUGCGCUAAACCAAGGAUUCAAGAUCAAGUAGAUGCAAUGAAGAAAAGCAACCUGACGCAUAUAAAAGGAAUUGAAAA